GGUUAUGGCUCAGUGGUAGAGUAUUCGCCUAGCAUGGGUGAGGCACUGGGUUCGAUCCUCAGCACCA
rnacentral:tRNA from 1 species